UACGAAGGGGGCUAGCGUUGUUCGGAAUUACUGGGCGUAAAGCGCACGUAGGCGGAUAUUUAAGUCAGGGGUGAAAUCCCAGAGCUCAACUCUGGAACUGCCUUUGAUACUGGGUAUCUUGAGUAUGGAAGAGGUAAGUGGAAUUCCGAGUGUAGAGGUGAAAUUCGUAGAUAUUCGGAGGAACACCAGUGGCGAAGGCAGCUUACUGGUCCAUUACUGACGCUGAGGUGCGAAAGCGUGGGUAGCAAACAGG
rnacentral:rRNA from 1 species